rnacentral:lncRNA from 1 species
UUGCGAUUUUUGUUGGCGAAGGCGCAUAGCUUGAGUCUCAGUUCAACUUACAGUUGAACGUUUUGGCGAAGGCACGUAGCCUGAGUUGUUGUUCAACUGUAGUGGAACGUUGCGAUUUUUGUUGGCGAAGGCGCAGAGCCUGAGUAGCAAUUCAACUUAUAAUUGAACUUUUUGGCGAAUGCACGUAGCCUGAGUUGUUGUUCAACCGUAGUUGAACGUUUUGCGAUUUUUGUGGGCGAAGUCGCAUAGCUUGAGUCCCAGUUCAACUUAUAGUUUAACUUUUUGGCGAAGGCACGUGGCCUGAGUUGUUGUUCAACCGUAGUUGAACGUUGCGAUUUUUGUUGGCGAAGGCGCAUAGCCUGAGUCCCAGUUCAACUUCUAGUUGAACUUUUUGGCCAAGGCAUGUGGCCUGAGUUGUUGUUCAACCGUAGUUGAACGUUGCGGUUUUUUUUGGCGAAGGGGCAUAGCCUGAGUCCCAGCUCAACUUAUAGUUGAACUUUUGGGCGAAGGCACGCGGCCUGAGUUGUUGUUCAACCGUAGUUGAACGUUGCGGUUUUUGUUGGCGAAGGCGCAUAGCCUGCGUCCCAGUUGAACUUUUUGGCGAAGGCACGUGGAUUGAGUUGUUGUUCAACCGUAGUAGAACGUUGCGAUUUUUGUUGGCGAAGGUGCAUAGCGUGAGUCGUAGUUCAACUUAUAGUUGAACCUUUUUGGCGAAGGCACGUAGCUUGAGUUGUUGUUCAACCGUAGUUGAACAUUGCGAUUUUUAUUAGCGAAGGCGCAUAGCCUACGUCCCAGUUCAACUUAUAGUUGAACUUUUUGGCGAAGGACGUAGCUUGAGUUGUUGUUCAACCGUAGUUGAACGUUGCGAUUUUUGUUGGCGAAGGCGCAUAACCUGAGUCCCAGUUCAACUUAUAGUUGAACUUUUUGGCGAAGGCACGUAGCCUGAGUUAGUGUUCAACCGUAGUUGAACGUUGCGAUUUUUGUUGGCGAGGGCGCAUAGCUUGAGUCUUAGUUCAACUUACAGUUGAACUUUUUGGCGAAGGCACGUAGCCUGAGUUGUUGUUCAACCGUAGUUGAACAUUGCUAUUUUUUUUGGCGAAGGCGCAGAUCCUGAGUCGCAGUUCAACUUAUAAUUGAACUUUUUGGCGAAGGCACGUAGCCUGAGUUGUUGUUCAACCGUAGUUGAACGUUGCGAUUUUUGUUGGCGAAGGCUCAUAGCUUGAGUCCUAGUUCAACUUACAGUUGAACUUUUUGGCGAAGGCACGUAGCCUGAGUUGUUGUUCAAUCGUAGUUGAAUGUUGCGAUUUUUGUUGGCGAAGGCGCAGAGCCCGAGUACCAGUUCAACUUAUAGUUGAACUUUUUGGCGAAGGCACGUAGCCUGAGUUGUUGUUCCACCUAGUUGAAUUUUGUAAUUUUUGUUGAACUUUCUGUCCUGCAUGACCCAUCGUUAUGCGUAUGGGGCGUUAGCGAUCAGUUCUAGUUUUAGAUUUCGCACGGUUUAUGUGUUAUCCUCUCGAUUAAUUCGCGUAGGUCACCCCGUUGUGGAUCUUGGUUUGGAGGCGUCUUUGCGCCUUUCCCGGAGGGUUAUUGCACCGGGGACACGGGAGUACCCUUAGAUGUGCUCCCCCCUGGAGGGGGAGGGGCUGUUUUUCUUCUUGCUUGUACUAUCUGAGAGGGGAAAGGCAGAGGAGUUGGAUCUUAACUCGAGAUCUUCAAGUUUCCUUCGUCUGAUAUAUCGCCUCAGCUUGUUUUGAGUCAGAUUGUUCUUUGGUGUUUCUUUCCUUUUGGUACAAGGAAGAACUACACGAUUCUGCUAUGAAAUCCCCAGAGACGGCGCCAAUUUGUUUGGCUCAAAGUUAUCAUAUACUUUGCAAGACUAAAAAUAAUCGAAAUAGAUCAUAGCAGAUCGUAAUAAUCAAAAGACCAAAUGAAAAAUGCACGAGACAAAUGUUAUCUAUUAAGGAGAGGAAGGAAGAGAUCUUUUAUUGAUAAUCUUGCUUUGGCCUGCCCCUCCAUGGAGAGGUUCAGGGCCUUACAAUAAUAUUCUCUCUUUUCUAGGAAAUAGUAAUGAAUAAGAAAAGCAGCCCCCCUUUUUAGGGCUCCUCCUCUUUGUAUUUAUUAGAUGCAAGAUGUGUGAGCUGGCAGUGAUAGCUAUGACUACGCUGAGAUCCCGUCCCUAUGAUGGUGAAUGGGUCGUAGCCUUAAUAAGUGAGUUAGCCGAUGAUCGGGCAUGUCAGUUAAUAAGUGGUCAUAUCAUUUAUUAACUCCGGACAAGCUUAGGAUAUAAUUAAUUUCGUUAAUUAUCUCGAGAUCAUAUUUUGACCCAUACAGUACACUAAAUACCUUAAUAAAUAUACAUGUAAAAAAUUACUAAAAUUUUAACAAAUAUUAAAUUCUGAAUCCAUAAUGUUAAAAGUGCAACAGAUUCAAUAUUAGGAACUUAAAAGUUGAACAUGUCAAGAUUAAUUGUUGGAUCGGAAUCUAACUAUAUAUGCAGCAUGACAAGUAAUUAAAAAUUUUAAACUCAAU